GCAGCUGUGGCUCAAAGUGGUAGAGCACUAACCUUCAACAAAAGAACUUAGGGACAGCGCCCAGGCUGUGAGUUCAAGUCCCACCAUUGGCA
rnacentral:tRNA from 1 species